AGUCGUAACAAGGUUUCCGUAGGUGAACCUGCGGAAGGAUCAUUAACACGUAUCCAACGUAACCCUGUGAACUUUCAGCGCUCUUGUAACCCAGGCGGAACAGCAAUCCCGGAAAAUCAAUGGAUUUUUGAUUCUGUCCAAAAGGUAUCAAGUUACAAUCGAGCUAGGCAGUGGCAUGGUUUCCCUAAACAGUGCAGAAGGAUCCACUGAGUACGGAUAACGCAUUACGGUUGCCAGAGGUCGAUCUUGCCUAAUCAUGCCCGGCGGAAACGCCGGGCACAAAAACUGAACAACUGUUAACAAUGGAUAUCUUGGUUCUC
rnacentral:misc_RNA from 1 species